rnacentral:tRNA from 1 species
GGAGAGUUGUCCGAGUGGCUGAAGGAGCACGAUUGGAAAUCGUGUAGACGGGUUAAACCCCGUCUCAAGGGUUCAAAUCCCUUACUCUCCGCCA